rnacentral:rRNA from 1 species
AGAUUAAGUUAUUAAGGGCGCACGGUGGAUGCCUUGGCACUAGAAGCCGAUGAAGGACGUUACUAACGACGAUAUGCUUUGGGGAGCUGUAAGUAAGCUUUGAUCCAGAGAUUUCCGAAUGGGGAAACCCAACAUGAGUUAUGUCAUGUUAUCGAUAUGUGAAUACAUAGCAUAUCAGAAGGCACACCCGGAGAACUGAAACAUCUUAGUACCCGGAGGAAGAGAAAGAAAAUUCGAUUCCCUUAGUAGCGGCGAGCGAAACGGGAAGAGCCCAAACCAACAAGCUUGCUUGUUGGGGUUGUAGGACACUCUAUACGGAGUUACAAAGGACGACAUUAGACGAAUCAUCUGGAAAGAUGAAUCAAAGAAGGUAAUAAUCCUGUAGUCGAAAAUGUUGUCUCUCUUGAGUGGAUCCUGAGUACGACGGAGCACGUGAAAUUCCGUCGGAAUCUGGGAGGACCAUCUCCUAAGGCUAAAUACUCUCUAGUGACCGAUAGUGAACCAGUACCGUGAGGGAAAGGUGAAAAGCACCCCGGAAGGGGAGUGAAAUAGAACCUGAAACCGUGUGCUUACAAGUAGUCAGAGCCCGUUAAUGGGUGAUGGCGUGCCUUUUGUAGAAUGAACCGGCGAGUUACGAUUUGAUGCAAGGUUAAGCAGUAAAUGUGGAGCCGUAGCGAAAGCGAGUCUGAAUAGGGCGUUUAGUAUUUGGUCGUAGACCCGAAACCAGGUGAUCUACCCUUGGUCAGGUUGAAGUUCAGGUAACACUGAAUGGAGGACCGAACCGACUUACGUUGAAAAGUGAGCGGAUGAACUGAGGGUAGCGGAGAAAUUCCAAUCGAACCUGGAGAUAGCUGGUUCUCUCCGAAAUAGCUUUAGGGCUAGCCUCAAGUGAUGAUUAUUGGAGGUAGAGCACUGUUUGGACGAGGGGCCCCUCUCGGGUUACCGAAUUCAGACAAACUCCGAAUGCCAAUUAAUUUAACUUGGGAGUCAGAACAUGGGUGAUAAGGUCCGUGUUCGAAAGGGAAACAGCCCAGACCACCAGCUAAGGUCCCAAAAUAUAUGUUAAGUGGAAAAGGAUGUGGCGUUGCCCAGACAACUAGGAUGUUGGCUUAGAAGCAGCCAUCAUUUAAAGAGUGCGUAAUAGCUCACUAGUCGAGUGACACUGCGCCGAAAAUGUACCGGGGCUAAACAUAUUACCGAAGCUGUGGAUUGUCCUUUGGACAAUGGUAGGAGAGCGUUCUAAGGGCGUUGAAGCAUGAUCGUAAGGACAUGUGGAGCGCUUAGAAGUGAGAAUGCCGGUGUGAGUAGCGAAAGACGGGUGAGAAUCCCGUCCACCGAUUGACUAAGGUUUCCAGAGGAAGGCUCGUCCGCUCUGGGUUAGUCGGGUCCUAAGCUGAGGCCGACAGGCGUAGGCGAUGGAUAACAGGUUGAUAUUCCUGUACCACCUAUAAUCGUUUUAAUCGAUGGGGGGACGCAGUAGGAUAGGCGAAGCGUGCGAUUGGAUUGCACGUCUAAGCAGUAAGGCUGAGUAUUAGGCAAAUCCGGUACUCGUUAAGGCUGAGCUGUGAUGGGGAGAAGACAUUGUGUCUUCGAGUCGUUGAUUUCACACUGCCGAGAAAAGCCUCUAGAUAGAAAA